AUCCAAGUGCAAGGGCAUUCACCUACCCUAUGAGGUUGACACUGAGGGAGGCAUUGCUGGAGGGAGUUCUACUCUCGACCAUUGCUCCUCAUCGGGUUCGCCUGGUGAGGGAAUUUUUGAAUCGUGCUUUGUUUCAUUGCGU
rnacentral:snRNA from 2 species